AGCAUCUAAGCACGAAACUUGCCCCGAGAUGAGUUCUCCCUGAGACUUUAAGUCUCCUGAAGGAACGUUAAAGACGAUGACGUUGAUAGGCCGGGUGUGUAAGCGCAGCGAUGCGUUGAGCUAACCGGUACUAAUGAACCGUGAGGCUUAACCUUACAACGCCGAAG
rnacentral:rRNA from 1 species